rnacentral:rRNA from 1 species
GACGAACGCUGGCGGCGUGCCUAAUACAUGCAAGUAGAACGCUGAAGGAGGAGCUUGCUCUUCUGGAUGAGUUGCGAACGGGUGAGUAACGCGUAGGUAACCUGCCUGGUAGCGGGGGAUAACUAUUGGAAACGAUAGCUAAUACCGCAUAACAGUAGAUGUUGCAUGACAUUUGCUUAAAAGGUGCAAUUGCACCACUACCAGAUGGACCUGCGUUGUAUUAGCUAGUUGGUGGGGUAACGGCUCACCAAGGCGACGAUACAUAGCCGACCUGAGAGGGUGAUCGGCCAAACUGGGACUGAGACAAGGCCCAGACUCCUACGGGAGGCAGCAGGAGGGAAUCUUCGGCAAUGGACGGAAGGCUGACCGAGCAACGCCGCGGGAGGGAAGAAGGUUCUCGGAUUGUAAAGCUCUGUUGUAAGAGAAGAACGAGUGUGGGAGUGGAAAGUUCACACUGUGACGGUAUCUUACCAGAAAGGGACGGCUAACUACGUG